rnacentral:lncRNA from 1 species
CAAAUCAGUUAGAGUUUCUAACACAAGUCUGUGCACAUUUAUUUUUAUUUAAAGCUUACUUUGGAUCAAGUGUUUGGGGACUGCAGCUGCAAGUAUGCUAUUGUAUACUAAUCUUCAAUAUAUAAAUACAGUAUUUAUGCCUAUUGCAAAUAUUUCAUAAGUAGGCUACUUAACCUCUGACAGACUGGUGUCCUGUAUAUUGUGCUCCACCCUCUCACCUACUCUCUAUGCCUAUGACAGUCAGGACGACCGUGGAUGGAAGAGCUACUUCACAAUUCAUGAGUAUUUAAUUAUUUUAUUUCUGCUUUUUGGCCAAAGAAAAAGGGGUAAUCCACUGACGAGGUGGUGCAUUGCUCUAAUUACUCUCAUUACAGGACAUCUGAUAAUAAGCCAAUCACUGCAGCUGAUGGAGAGAGAUUCAUAGAAGAGUGUGGAUGUCCUUGUACCCCUAGUACUUUCAACCUUUUAGAGACCCUGCA